ensembl:snRNA
GAACUGGAUAAAAAGCAUUUUUCUUGACAAAGAUGGGAGAAGCCCUCAGGCUUGACAACAGGUAUAUGAUUAAGGCAUUUCCACUUACUUUGUGGCAUCUAAUCAUUAUUUUUU